rnacentral:rRNA from 1 species
UUGACGGGGCCCGCACAAGCGGUGGAGCAUGUGGUUAAUUCGACGCAACGCGAAGAACCUUACCAGGGCUUGACAUCCCCUGACCGCGUAUGAAAGUACGUUUUCACCCUCGGGUGACAGGGAGACAGGCGGUGCAUGGUUGUCGUCAGCUCGUGUCGUGAGAUGUUGGGUUAAGUCCCGCAACGAGCGCAACCCCUACGUUUAGUUGCUAACGCGUGAAGGCGAGCACUCUAGACGAACUGCCGUUGACAAAACGGAGGAAGGUGGGAUGACGUCAAAUCAUCAUGCCCUUAUGUUCUGGGCUACACACGUGCUACAAUGGCCGGUACAGACGGACGCAAAGCCGCGAGGUGGAGCAAAUCCUAAAAAGCCGGUCUCAGUUCGGAUUGCAGGCUGCAAUUCGCCUGCAUGAAGUCGGAAUCGCUAGUAAUCGCAGGUCAGCAUACUGCGGUGAAUACGUUCCCGGGCCUU